UUCACUCUUAACGCCCAGGCUGGGGUGCAAUGGCGCAACCUUGCUGGUCACUGCAACCUCUGCCUCCUGGGUUCAAGAAAUUCUCCUGCCUUAGCCUCCCAAGUCGCUGGGAUUACAGGUGCCCACCACCACACCAGGCUAAUUUUUGUAUUUUUAGUGGAGAUGGGGUUUCACCAUGUUGGCCAGGCCAGUCUCAAACUCCUGACAUCAAGUGAUCUUCCCGCCUCGGCCUCCCAGAGUGCUGAGAUGACAGAUGUGAACCCAUGCCUGGCCAGGAAUUUUGUUUUUUAGAAAGGCUUUCUACUAAUGGAAUUCCUGGCCUUGAGAGGAUAUUACUUUCGAAGGAAAGGAUUUUUCUGUUAUUUAAAGAACCACCUAAGCUGAAGAUUCCCUUGAGAACAAGUACUGUCCUGUGGUUUCAUGACCUUUCUUCCAUUUGUGGUUCUUGUGAAGUGGAAUUUAAAUGACAUCUUAUCAAGAUGGAUAAACCCUAGUUUCCCAGUGCUGGAAUAUAGAAAAUGAUGGACAAGUAAAUCCCACUCAGCACCCAUAGUCCAGGCAUGGGGACCUCAACACACCUGAGCCCCAGACAUCACCUUUCAUUAAUGUCUUUUUGUCACUUCUAGCUGGACCUACCAUGAAAGACUUCUGAAUCCAGGAAGAGAGACUGACUGGGCAACAUGUUAUUCAGGUACAAAAAGACUUGGACUGUAACUCAAAAAUGAUCAAAUAAUAGUGCAUGCAUCAAGUGCAAUGGGAAGCUCUUCUGGAGAGGGAGAGAAGCUUCCAGUUAAGGUGACAUUGAAGCCAAGUCCUGUAAGAUGAGGAAGAGUUGUAUGAGAGUAGGGAGGGGAGGGAAGGGGGAGGUGGAGGGAUGGGGAUUGGGCUGGGAUGGGAUGGAGUGAGCUGCCCAGGCAGGGAAACCAGCACUAUACAGACCUGAACAAUGAAGAUGGCACAUUUUGUUCAGGGAAUGGUGAAUUAAGUGUGGCAGGAAUGCUUUGGAGAGACGGUCAUUUGCUUGUAUGG